UCGAAUGAGGAUUUGAAUAGUUACUUGAACACGUUUGGCAACUGCUGUAUGCAGCUUUCGAAUUUGGUUUCGCGUUGUUUUGAAGCAUUUAGUUUAAUUUUAGGAGCAUAAGAAUAGUGGUUGAGUUAUGACCUAUUCACAGAAAGGUGGAACUUUAAACACUGGUGGCCCUGGAUUUGUGGGUAUAAAAUUUUGUCAGGAAUGCAAUAAUAUGUUGUAUCCAAGAGAGGACAAAGAAAACAAAGUUCUCCUCUAUGCAGCACAUAUUAAUUCAAUCUGAAAUGACUCGAUGCCAGGGACUUACUAAUGAAGAAAUCAAAAAAAAUUUAGAAGAGCCAGAUGACGAAGAUAUUGAUUUGGAUGAUGAAAUAGACGAUCCCGAUUUUCAAGAUCCAACACACAAU